GGCCAAUAGAGUGCAAAUCAAACGUACCUAACAUUUUCUGCAAGGUUAGAACAGGAAACUGUCAGUCCAGAUGGAUGAGGUCAAGAAGAAAUGGCCCCAGGAAUGUCCUCUACCCAACAAUAUGUCCACUUGCUUCCCAUGAGUUAGGAGGCCUCCCUAUUUUGGUGUGCAUUCAAGUUACGUCAUUUCCUCUGAACUUCUAUGAAACCUAUUUCUGGAAGCUCCAGGCCCUCAGAAUGCCCCCUAAAAGGUGCCUGAAAUUAAAGUUGCAAAGAGGGCUUUCCUGGUCUUGGAGAACAGGGCUAGGCAAUGGCCUUCACUAUGCCUUGUUUUUCCAAUCCUUUGGCAAGCCUAUGGGAACUAAGUUGCCGCUAGUAUUGUCAGCCCUGGAUUUAUUCCUCUGCUUUCUGCUUCCUCAGCUACUCCCAUCUAGGUGCCAUGAUGCUGGCAGAUGCCAUCCUACUAUAGUUUCCAGAGUCAUCAGGCUGUGAGGUAGGUGGGGUAUGGACAACCUCAGUCCUGACUUCACUCACCUCUUUAUCCCUGGACUCAAUAGAGGCUGAGUUCCUCUGUUCUCCAUAUCUCCUUUACUAGCCAUUGCUAGCCCUGGCCCCUAACUCCCCUGAAAGUAACUCAAACACCACUAUCUGUAUUCAUGCCUCAAUCACCACAGGCAAAUUAUUUCACCCAAAUAACCAUGAUUGGCCCUUUAUAAAUGUUCAAUCAAUAUUAACCAGUAGCAGGAGUUAAGAAUCUAAAUGCAACAGCUAGGAUCUCUGCAGAGGCGAAGGUUUGAUCUCCAGCCUGGCACAGAUCCCUUAACAGUGGGUUAAAGGAUCUGGUUUUGCCACGGUUGUAGCUAGGAUUCAAUCCCUGGCCUAGGAACUUCCAUAUACCUGGGUACAGCCAUUUAAAAAAUAUUAACAUGGUUUCCGUCAUGGCACAGUGGAAACUUAUCUGACUAGGAACCAUGAGGUUGUGGGUUCAAUCCCAGGCCUCACUCAGUGGGUUAAGGAUCGGGCAUUGCUGUGAGCUGUGGUGUAGGUCACAGAUGUGGCUCAGAUCUGGCAUUGCUGUGGCUGGGGUGUAGGCUGGCAGCUACAGCUCCGAUUAGACCCCUAGCCUGGGAACCUCCAAAUACUGUGGGUGUGGGCCUAAAGGAAAAAAAAUAACUUAUAGCAGCAGCAGUAGAAGUAAUAGUAGUAGUAGUAAUAAUAGUAGUAACAACUGCCUCAGUUGCUAUCCAAGAAUGGAAUCUUCUUUAUACCCAUUCAGAGCUGGCGGACCAUGCUGUGCCAUUCCAAAUCUUCCCAAAUGUUAUCUAGUUACCACCUGAUUCUUGUAUUCUUCAAUGUGGUGUAACUUGAUUAUCUGGAAAUUGUCAUGUCCCUUGGCCCUGUAACUAGCCACCCUGACCCCCUCACCCUACAAGAUCUGUCCUCAUGUAUGCCUCAGUUCCUCCCAUACUUAUUCUCUUAUGCAGGGGUGUCAUGCCAAUAAUCCAGGCUCAGAUACUCUUCCCUGUGUAGUUGCCAACAGCCAGGAUAAAGCAUUCUUAGGACAUGAUGUCUGAUAGGGACUCCUUCUUCCUAUGACAGUUAAGCUUCUGGUGAUGUGGCUUAGGUACAUUCACCCUUUUAAGUACUCUUUAUGCUAUUCUGGGGAGCAGCUGUCUUUCCCAUACUCCCUUUCUCUUCCUUCCUCCUAUAUUUUUUCACUUCUACUGUCAUUACAAUAGUGCUUAUUGUGUUUCUUCAAAGGUACUCAGUGAGAGGGUGGGUAGGUCCUGGAGGGGAUAUAUGAGAGAAGAACUAUCUUGCUGCUGGAUGAUUUCAUACUUAAUUGGAAAUUAACCCUGGCCCUUAGCUCUCCAGGGUAUAUUCAUAUCCAGCAAGAAAUCACAUCACUGGUCUCCUCAUUUCCUCUCAUUUCAUCCUAUAGUAAUUCACCACACAGCAGUGAGAGUGAUCUUUUAAAAAUGUAAGUCAGAUCAUGCCACAACCCUGCUUGAAGUGGUUUCCCAUUGCACUUGAAAUCCAAAAUCCUUAAUAUGUCCUACAAGGCACUGAAGGGUCUCCCAGUUUGCUUCUCCAGACUCUUCUCACAGCAUUCUUUCCUGCAUCUUCAUACUUCUUCAGCUACAUUGGCUUACUUCAUUUCCCUCAAACAUGCCAUUCUCUCUGUCUCAGGGCCUCAGCACAUAAUUUUUUCUUUUGACUUGGACACUUUUCAUUUGUUUGCAUGGGUAACUUCUUAUAUUUUAGUUCCAGCUCUCUGGUUAAAUGUUAAUUCCUCACAAAAUGUUUCCUUGAGGCCACAAAUUAAACUAGGCAAUGUCCUUGUUGUGACCUAUCAUCCCACUCUUUGCUCUUCCUUAAUAGCACCUUUCAUAAUCUAUUAAAAGUAAAUUAUUAUUCAUUUACUUUUUGUGAUUAUUUAAGGGCUAUCUCCCUUGGAGUGCCAAGAGUAGAACUCCACCCACCAAGGGAAAGCGAAGUUUAUCUAAACCCUCCCUCAAGUCUACCUACUUCUUACAGAAUCUAUAAUAUCCUUGCUUUCUAUUCCUACAGAGUGUCUAGUUCAGACUACUACCACUACUGCUACCAGCAUGGUCCCUGUCAAAUAAUUCUCAAUUGGAACAGAAAAUUCACAAUUAUUUUGGAUUUCAGAAAUACUAGCAUCCCUGCCUAAAUUACCAGAUGGCUGGAGAAGGACUCUUUCAAUUUGAAAAUUCAGCAAUCAAAUUCAAAUACUUGUAUGUGACCCCCCAAAAAAGUUUGUCAAUUAUUAAGGAAGGAAUAAAAUCAAGUAUGAUAUGUUGGCAUAAGUUACUUAGUAGUGAGUCAGCAUCUAUAUCUCAGUUUGGUUAUGCAGUUCUCAAUUCAUAGUGAGUAUGGUGGCAUGUGUAAGUAAGUAUGUAGUAUCUGGAGGCACACUGCUUUUUUUUUAAUUGAAGUAAAACAUACAUACAGGAAAGUGAAAAAAUAAUACAUGUAUGGAUCACUGAAUUUCAUAAAUUAAGUUCACUUAUACAGCAUCACUCAUUUUGAGACAAAACAUUACCAGCACAUUAAAAAUAACCUCCAUGGACUCUUAGAGUAACUCCAGCCCCUUCAAGUGAAAAUUAUUAUCCUCACGUCUAACAUCAAAGACAAAUGUUUUAUUUUUGUAAUUUAUAUAAAUAGAAUAAUACCAUACUUACUCUUCUCUAUAGCUUCUUUGUUCAAUGUUAUAUUUGUGAUAUUCUAAACCAUUGCUCUUAUAUAGUUUGUUGAUUCUCAUUGCUAUAUAUUAUUCCAUUAUGUGAAUAUACCACUAUCUAUGGAAUCAGUCCUUUCUGCUAUUGAUGGCCAUUAAGAAAUUUCCAGUUAUUGGCAAUUAUGGUUAGUGUUUCUUUGAACAUUUCUUAACAUGCCCUGUAGAGAGCAGUGUGCAUUUCUGUUGGGUAUAUGCCUAGGAUUGGAAUGGCUUGGCCAUUGUGUGUGCAUAUAUUCAGUUUUAGUAGUUGUUGUCAAACAUUUUUCCAAAGAUGUACCAUUAUGCAUUUCCAUCAGCAGUGUAUGAUCAUUCUAGUUGUUUUAGAUUCUUACCAACACUUGGAAAUUUUGUAUUUUUUCAUUAUAGCUAUUCUGGUUAUUGUGGAGUGACAUCUCAUUUUCAUGAGGACUAAUGAAGUUGAGGACAUUUUCUAUGUUUGUCAUUUGGAUAUUUUCUUUUGUAAAGUGCUCAAGUCUUUUGCUCAUUUUUCUAUUGGUCAACCUGUCUUUUGACAUUGAUUUGUAGGGAUUAUAUGUAUAUAAUCUGGCUAUACCUCAUUUGUCAAAUAUAUGCAUUACACAAAUUCCUCCAAUUUGUUGCUAAAGUAUUUUUUUAUUGUUGAUGUCAUUUGAUGACUAGAAGGCCUUAAUUUUAAUACACUCUAUUUUUCAAAUGGUUAACAUUUUUAAUAUACCACUUUAAAAAUCAUUGCUUCCUCUAAGACUGCCUGGAUUUGAAUAUUGGAUCCACCACUUUCUGCCUGUAUGACCUUGGACAAAUUACUUAACCUCUCUAGCCUUUGUGUUUUUUACAGUAGAAAGUUGAUUCAUAGUAUUUUUAUAAAGGUGAAAGAACAUGAUGCAUAUAAAAUAGUUUAACACCACACCAAACACAUAAAUAAUCAAUUAUUGCUUAUUUUUCAUUUUAUAUUAUCUAUUAAUAUUUAUAAUUUGGAAAUUUAUAAAAGUUCUAUCUUAAAUAACAAGUCUACUUUCCUUAUAUUAUAUUGAAGGUUUAAAGUCAGACAUUUUCCACUAUAGGUAAAGUUUGUUUUUCAGCAUUCUGAUUUUUCAGAAUUAAGACUAUAAGAAAAAAAAUUUUAAGCCAAAAUAAUUUUCAGACCAUAGCAAGUUAUGAUAACUAAUGGUACUCCCUGAUGGGGAUGUGCAAGCAUGGAGGCAUGGAAUUCCUAAUCAAGAGAGAGUAAUGGCUUGGCAGUUGUGUGUGUGUGUGUGUUAGUGAAGUAUAGUCAACAGAGAAUAUUAUGCUAGUUACAUGUGUACAACAUAGUGAUUUAAUAUUUAGAUAUAUUAUGAAAUGAUCACAAAAGUCUAGUAACCAUUUGUCACAUAUAAAUAUUACAGUAUUAUUGACCAUAAUCCUUAUACUAUAUAUUACAUCCCAUUACUUAUUCAUUUUAUAGAAUUGUGUACCUCUUAAUCUUCUCUAUCUAUUUUUCCCACCCCUUAAAGUGCCUUCCCUCUGGCUACCACUAAUUUAUUCUCUGUUUAUUCUAGUUUAUUCUUCUUUUUCCAUUUAUCUAUUGAUGGACACUGAGGUCGCAUCCAUAGCUUGACUAUGGUAAAUAAUGCUACAAUGAACAUUGAAGUUCAUAUAUAUUUUCAAAUUAGUGUUUUCAUUUCCUUUUUUUAAUUGAAGUACAACUUAACAUAUUAGUUUCAAGCAUAUAAGAUAUAAUUCAAUAUUUUUAUAGGUUAUACUACAUUUAAAAUUACUUUAAAAUAUUGGCUAUAUUCCCAGUACCAUGCAGUGUAUCAUUGUAGCUUACUUAUUUUAUAUAUAGUAGUUUUUAUCUCUUAAUUAUCUACUCACUUUUUUUUCUUUUGUCUUUUUAGGGCUGCACCAGUGGCAUAGGGAAAUUUCCAGGCUAGGGGUCCAAUCAGAGCUACAGCUGCUGGCCUACACCACAGCCACAGCAACACAUGAUCUGAGCCGCAUCUGCGACCUACACCACAGCUCAUGGCAACUUCAGAUCCUUAACCCACUAAAGGAGGCCAGGGAUCGAACCCACAAGCUCAUGGUUCCUAGUCGGAUUCAUUUCCACUGUGCCACUUCUGGAACUCCUUAGUCAUCUACUCAUAUGUUGCCCUUCCUCAUUUCCCUAUCUGUAAGUCUGUAUCUAUUUUGUUAUAUUCAUUUGUUUGUUUCAUUUUAGAUUCCACAUAUAAGUGAAAACAUACAAUAUUUAUCUUUUUCUACCUGACUUAUUUCCCUAAGUAUAAUAACCUGAAGGUCCAGUCAUGUUGCUACAAACAUAUAAGUGAAAACAUACAAUAUUUAUCUUUUUCUACCUGACUUAUUUCCCUAAGUAUAAUAACCUGAAGGUCCAGUCAUGUUGCUACAAAGAACUAAUUUUCAUUAUUUUUAUGGCUAAAUAAUAUUUCAUUGCAUCUUCUUUAUCUUUUAACCUGUUGUUGGACACAUAAAUUGCUUCCAUACCUCAGCUACUGUAAAUAAUGUUGUUAUGAACAUUGGGGUGCGUGUAUCUUUUCAAAUUAGUGUUUUGUAUAUUCUUCGGAUAAAUACCCAGGCAUGGAUAUAUACCAAGAUACUAUAUAGCAAUAUGGAUGUACCUUGAAAGCAUUGUCAGAGAAAGAUGCUAGUCUUAAAAGAUCACAUAUGAUUCUGUUUAAAUGACAUGUCCAAACUAGCAAGUCUGUAGAGACAGAGAGUAGAUUAGCAGUUUCCUAGGUCUAGAGGGCAUGGGGACUGGGAGGUAAUACUUAAAUAGUACAGGGCUUCUUUUUAGCAUAAUGGAAAUGCUUCAAAUUUGA
rnacentral:lncRNA from 1 species